rnacentral:lncRNA from 1 species
AAAGAGAGAAAGAGAAUUAGAGGUUAAGAAAGGUAAAGGCUUAGAGAGAGAGCUUAGUGGGUUUGUUAUCUUGUUGUUGCUAGGUAACUGGGGAGGAGUCUAGCCAGAAGGACAGAAGCUUGGGACAUUGUCUAUGUAACUUAAAGCCACAUGUUUCUCUUGUGGGGGCUGUGGGGACGGUAACUUCGACAGGAGCCAGGGGUCCAGGAGACAUGGUCAAACGCCUACUGUCCCAUCAGCUGACAAACUGCAGUUUACAAGAACUGGAUGCCUGACACCAACCAGAAGAUGCAGGGGAAGCACAAUGAGGCAGGCAAGGACAGACAACAUCGCUGAGACUGCAUAGCACAAGCCAGCUUCAAGAGCCGAGUCUACGACUAAUUUGACUUUGUAAUUCUUCAUUAAGGAUUUCUGAAUAUAAA